rnacentral:lncRNA from 1 species
CUGUUUGUUUUUGUUGUCUGUGGCUCAGGUCAACCACAUAAAUUGGCCUCUCCUGGAGACUGCCAGAACUUUCUCAAAGUUGUAACAUCCAGAGGGAGUCACCCCACCCCCAAGACCGGCAACUGAGAUGUUUAAAGGAACUGGCUGGCCCUGAAGGAAAGACUGAGGCCAUUCAUCUGCUCUGGAGUUCAUCCUCGGGAUCUGAGAUGCACAGCCUGAAGACAUCUCAUCAGCCAUCAGCUCCCUUAAGGUGACCUGCAGCCUCCUUUGUGCCCUGGGGGCAUUUGGGAUUGUGUAGAGGCUCUCUCUCAGAAGCAUCUUUCUGUUAUUUUAAUGCGGAUAGAAAGCUUUACAUUCUUUGCUAAUAACAUCUGGGUUUUAAUAGCGCCUCCUUGCCCUGCCUGUCUCCGGCAUCUCUCUUUUUUCCCUCUUCUCCAUCUCUAGAGAAGCCACCAGAAAAUGGCAUCUUGCUUUUGACUUUCUUUGUGCUGAUUCUUUUAGAGAACUUAGUGAUCCACUUUGCAAUGUCUCGUCUCCUAACAUUUCAGCUUGUUUCUCAGAGGGCCUGUACUUUGCUUUCUACCAGCUCUUUCAUCAUUUUCAUUUUCUUUAAUGAAAAAUAAGCAAAACUGUAUGAUUUCUAGGUUGUCUUCUUCUCCUAAAGGAUAUUCUUCUUCCGGCCUCUCUUAAUCUCUCUUCUCAGCAACUCCCUUGAUCUCUUUUAUCAUCAAUUUAUUGUCAAUAAAAGUGGCUUUAGGAAGCCUCCUGUUACCUGGCA